AAAAAUAUGUUUGAUUCUAUACAACAGGAUGCCUUGAUGCUGGAUGAAAUGCAGUAGAGACUCAAAGACCCAAAUGGUGUUAUGAUGAAUGACAGCGUUUUCGUAUCAUAGCGUAAUGUUCUUAAUAAAAAUAGAGAGAUUUUGCGAGACUGGUGUCAGAAAUAGAUGAAACAAAAAGCAAAAGUAAAGAAAAGAAAAAAUCAAUUGAAAAUGGAAAGACUAAUUGAGGUUUAUUUAUCCGAAUAUAUCAUCAAUUUCGUCUCGUCCCUUUCUUGCACGUUUCUUUUUUUUCUUGACUGUGGAAUUUGAGUUUUUGGAUUUACGUUUGGUACCUUGAGAAACAGUUAUAGGAGAAGAAGACAAGAAGAGAGAUUCAUCUUGAUUCUUGAGAAAAGAAUUAGGAGAGGAUACAGUCAGUUUCUCAUAACUAGUAGAAGCAGGAUUUAUAGACAAUGAAAUAGGUUCCGUAGCUAGCAAUUCAUCGCGAGCUACAACAGUCCCAGUGUCUAUGUCAUCUUGAGACUGUAAUUCCAAUUUUUUUUGCUCCUUUUGACUAAAGACUAUUUCCGAUUGUAUUUUUGCUUCGUACUCUAUUCCGCCCAUAACAAACCAAACGCGAGCUAAGAUACCCAGCAAAACUAACCCUAAGGCUGGAUACUGACCAUGGGCAAUUAAGUUUGUAAAAUAAAAGUACGAUUUCGGCAAUUGUUCUAAAAUAGCAAUUUUCGCUUUUUCAUUUCCAUCUAGCGACUGCUUUAGUCUUCGAAGCAGCAUUCGUACGUGUCUCCACCAAACACUUAGUCGAUGCUGAUUUCUAUUCCUAUACACGAUUUUUUGCAAUAAAACUACAUCGUAUUGCAAUUCCUGCAUAUCGUUGGACUAGACAAAUAGGUCGUACAAACCACCCAACGAGUGAGCAAUGUGAACACGAACACGAACGAAGAAAGUAUGUAUGUAUGAACAGUAUCCAUUAAAUACAUUGAUGGAUGAAAA